CCUACGGGAGGCAGCAGUAAGGAAUAUUGGGCAAUGGAGGCAACUCUGACCCAGCCAUGCCGCGUGAAGGAUGAAGGCCCUAUGGGUUGUAAACUUCUUUUGUACGGGAAUAAACCUGGUUACGUGUAACCAGUUGAAUGUACCGUAAGAAUAAGCACCGGCUAACUCCGUGCCAGCAGCCGCGGUAAUACGGAGGGUGCAAGCGUUAUCCGGAUUUAUUGGGUUUAAAGGGAGCGUAGGCGGGAUUGUAAGUCAGUGGUGAAAGCCCGUAGCUCAACUACGGAACUGCCAUUGAUACUGCAGACCUAGAGUACACUUGAAGUGGGCGGAAUGUGUCAUGUAGCGGUGAAAUGCUUAGAUAUGACACAGAACACCAAUUGCGAAGGCAGCUCACUAAAUUGUAACUGACGCUGAGGCUCGAUAGCGUGGGGAUCAAACAGGAUUAGAUACCCUGGUAGUCCACGCCGUAAACGAUGAUUACUCGAUGUUGGCGAUACACUGUCAGCGUCUGAGCGAAAGCAUUAAGUAAUCCACCUGGGGAGUACGGUCGCAGACUGAACUCAAGGAAUUGACGGCGUGAGACUUACCCAAGGCACACAGGGGAUUAGGG
rnacentral:rRNA from 1 species